rnacentral:rRNA from 1 species
GACGAACGCUGGCGGCGUGCUUAACACAUGCAAGUCGAACGGAAAGGCCCUGCUUUUGUGGGGUGCUCGAGUGGCGAACGGGUGAGUAACACGUGAGUAACCUGCCCUUGACUUUGGGAUAACUUCAGGAAACUGGGGCUAAUACCGGAUAGGAGCUCCUGCUGCAUGGUGGGGGUUGGAAAGUUUCGGCGGUUGGGGAUGGACUCGCGGCUUAUCAGCUUGUUGGUGGGGUAGUGGCUUACCAAGGCUUUGACGGGUAGCCGGCCUGAGAGGGUGACCGGCCACAUUGGGACUGAGAUACGGACCAGACUCCUACGGGAGGCAGCAGCGGGGAAUAUUGCACAAUGGGCGGAAGCCUGAUGCAGCAACGCCGCGUGCGGGAUGACGGCCUUCGGGUUGUAAACCGCUUUCGCCUGUGACGAAGCGUGAGUGACGGUAAUGGGUAAAGAAGCACCGGCUAACUACGUG